rnacentral:rRNA from 1 species
UACGUAGGGGGCCAGCGUUGCUCGGAAUAACUGGGCGUAAAGGGUCUGUAGGCGGUGUGGCAAGUCGGGAGUGAAAUCUCUGGGCUUAACCCAGAGACUGCUUCCGAAACUGCCAUGCUAGAGUGCGAGAGAGGUGAGUGGAAUUGCAGGUGUAGCGGUGAAAUGCGUAGAUAUCUGCAGGAACACCAGAGGCGAAGGCGGCUCACUGGAUCGCAACUGACGCUGAGAGACGAAAGCUAGGGGAGCAAACAGG